CUUCCGUAUCCUCAACGUGGCCGCAGAGAAGGACAACAUUAAUAAUAGGGUUAACUUGGGGGUACCACUGCAAAACCUCCUUUUUACAAAUUCAGAUUCUCUCUCGCCAGUCGCAACACUGUGCAGCUCUCUUCCACUCGAGCUCUCUGGCCAUGGCGUUCCUCCUUAACAAAGCCACUGCGCUCUCUCAUUUUCGAUCUCAUUCUCAGAAGACGGAGGACUCUUUUUCUCUCUCGCGUCGCGGAUUCCACGUCGAGCCCGGGCCUCGCGAGAAAGCUCUCUUGGCGGACAACCCAUCUCUAAAGCGAUUCAAAUCACACAAGAGGAAUGUGUGGCGACUUAAAAGGGUUGGAGAUGUUCUCACAAUCGUUGUUGUAGCUGGCUGUUGCUAUGAAAUUUAUGUGAAAGCAGUGAUGCGAGAAGAAGCUAGGAAACAGGCAGCUGCAAAUGAGAUUGCAUAGUGAAAUGUGUGUUUCCAUGGCGCUGCUUUCUGUUUGUCCAGUAACAUCAUAAGAUCCUUAUGUUUUGCCUGUGUUGAAUAAGAAGGAUAACAUGUUAUGCCGAUUUUCUUCUACUGCAAAAAAAAAAAUUUCUGCUCAUUUGACCUUUA